GUAAUAAGGCGGUUUUCGGAUGUUGGAAGAUCGCUUUCAAUAUACUGCAGUUUGCUUCGGAGGAGGAACUGUCGAUUGAGAAUUACACUGAACGAGGUGUCAUUGGUGUCACAGAAGAGGUGGUGUCGUUUGCUAGGGAUGUUGCUAUCAUGCUAUGCAUCCUGAGACUUGGAUUGAUUUCCCUUUGCCUGAGGAUGACGAGGAUGAAGAUGAAUUGUGCAUCUCAAAUUCCUAAACAUCAUUAUAUCAUGUCUCUGAACAACACUCUGAAGCUCAAUAUCAGUUAAAGCUCUAUUGUGAAGCUGGUGACAUAAACACGAUUCAGCUGCAAUAGAUUAUCAGAUGAAGGUUAAAGGCGGAAUAUUUGAAGUUAUUACUUUGGUUUGCUGUUGGAAUUGGGACUGCAAAACUAAUUUGCGUUCUACUGGUGUGGUUCUUUCUAUUUAAGGGUGGAAAUGGCUCAAGCAAGGUAACCAAGAAUGUGAUGCAUUGUAGUACAAGAGUGAUUGUAAAUGUUCAUUGCAAGGGUAUUAUUACCGGCUUACUUUGAAUUUUCAAGAGCUUUUAUAGACUUUCAAAUGUAAUGGCAAUGGCAAUAUAAUCAGAGUUUUUGUAAAGCUACUCUGCAAAUUAAUCGGCUUUUUAUGGAAUAUAAUUCCUAUUUAUUGCUGGAAA